rnacentral:rRNA from 1 species
AACGAACGCUGGCGGCAUGCCUAACACAUGCAAGUCGAACGAGACCUUUGGGUCUAGUGGCGCACGGGUGCGUAACGCGUGGGAAUCUGCCCUUGGGUUCGGAAUAACAGUGAGAAAUUGCUGCUAAUACCGGAUGAUGUCUUCGGACCAAAGAUUUAUCGCCCAGGGAUGAGCCCGCGUAGGAUUAGCUAGUUGGUGGGGUAAUGGCCUACCAAGGCGACGAUCCUUAGCUGGUCUGAGAGGAUGAUCAGCCACACUGGGACUGAGACACGGCCCAGACUCCUACGGGAGGCAGCAGUGGGGAAUAUUGGACAAUGGGCGCAAGCCUGAUCCAGCAAUGCCGCGUGAGUAAUGAAGGCCUUAGGGUUGUAAAGCUCUUUUACCAGGGAUGAUAAUGACAGUACCUGGAGAAUAAGCUCCGGCUAACUCCGUG